rnacentral:lncRNA from 1 species
UUUGAUCUUGAACUUGAGUUGUGUUUUACGGUAUAUAGAGCAAGAUAAAAAUCAUAUAAUUCAAUUUUUUUUGUUCCAGUGAUGUUAGUAAAGAUGAAAAUAAAGGAUUCAAUUUAGUUUUUUGAAAAUCUAGAUUAAAACAAUAUAAAUCUGAAGUAAAACAAAACAUAUAUAAUGAUGUUUUUCAUCUUUCUACGGAUCUAAUUCUAAAGCAAAAAAAAUGAAAAAUGAGAAUUCAAACUCAUAAAGCUCCUCUUUUUUUGUCUUCUUCUUCUUCAUCUUUUUCUUCUCUAUUUAUCUUUUUCUUCUUCUUCUUUAGAACAACCUUCUUCAUAUUUUCAUCUUCUUUGUCUUUGAACCAACUAUUAUUCUCAUUUUUUUUUCUUUAUCAAAACAACCAUCAUCAUCUUUUUUUGGAGUACUGAUGUCACUCCAUAUUGUAGUGAUAAUCGCACUUGCUGUGACUACCUUUUGGCUCGUUUCCACAAUUUUUGACCGAUUUUGGGUACCUUGUUGUGAUUGGAUGGAAUUUUGUGCUUGCAUUCUGUUAAGUGGACCAUUACGUUCUAUUUAACUUGUUUUCUGGAGUGUUUCUAAGAUUUCAGGUAUCCGAUCGAUAGAGGGUGUGAUUAUGAAUCCAACGGUACAAACUUGAGAUUAAUUCGAGGUCAGACGAGCGAGUUACAAGCAAAAUAUGAUUUUGGGACCGGUUUGAAAGUUGACCAAACCGAAUAGAAUUUUUAUAUAUAAGUCCAAAAUUAAGGAGAGAGAGAGGGGAGAUCCCUCAUUUCAUAUUUCACCACUCUUUUGGGUGAAAUUUCUUCCCUCUUUCUAAAAAUCCUAAAAAACACAACUGAGGAUUAAAUUGAAGGUGAAAGAAGUUAGAAGCAUUGGAUUGAAAAAUAGAAGAUCGAAGAGAAGGCUGAAGCAAGUACAUCUUGAUGCGACAAUUUGGUUUUGGAUUGUUUUAACUUUCUCUUAUUUUCUUUUCUCUUUAGAUGAUCAUGUGUAGCCUAGUUCUUUGUUGUUAUUUAGAUUGGAUGUAUGUUCUUGUUAUGAUUAUUACCUAGAAGUAAAGGGUUGGCCAUGUGGAUGUCAUGAAUGAAUGAAUGAUGUGUUUGGAUUAUGAUGGUUUCAACCUAAUUUAUGCUAUAA